rnacentral:rRNA from 1 species
GACGAACGCUGGCGGCGUGCUUAACACAUGCAAGUCGAGCGGUAAGGCCCUUUCGGGGGUACACGAGCGGCGAACGGGUGAGUAACACGUGGGUGACCUGCCUUUAGCUCUGGGAUAAGCCUGGGAAACUGGGUCUAAUACCGGAUACGACUCCGCGGUGCAUGCUGUGGGGUGGAAAGCCUUGUGCGGCUGGAGAUGGGCCCGCGGCCUAUCAGCUUGUUGGUGGGGUGAUGGCCACCAAGGCGACGACGGGUAGCCGGCCUGAGAGGGCGACCGGCCACACUGGGACUGAGACACGGCCCAGACUCCUACGGGAGGCAGCAGUGGGGAAUCUUGCGCAAUGGGCGAAAGCCUGACGCAGCGACGCCGCGUGAGGGAUGACGGCCUCGGUUGUAA